rnacentral:lncRNA from 1 species
UCCAACUGAAGUUAACUGGUCCUUUGUUGCUUCUCCAGUCUAAGCUCUGUGGAGGGACGUCAAGGCCAGAAUGGGAUCCAGAAGGGUGGAGGAUGGGGUUGCCUUAGUAGCAUGAAGGAUUGGUGGGAGGCAAGAAGAGCCGAAAGUUACUUUUUAAAUAAUUUGGCUCAUAUUUGAAUUUAUCUGAUUAGUAGAGCAAUGUCUGGCAUCCCUCCUGCUUGGAAGGCAGACUUCCCUUUUCCAGCCAAAUUCAGUAAGUUUCAGGAAUUGUCUGGAAUUUUUGUGGAAUCAUGAGAAAAUUUGAACACAAAUAUCUCCCGUGGACUAACUGAGCAAGAACUCAUUUAUCACCAAGGGGAUGGUGCCAAGCCAUUCAUGAGGGAUCUGCGCCUGUGAUCCGAACACCUUCCACUAGGCUCCACUUCCAACACUGGGAAUCACAUUUCAACAUGAGAGUUGGAGUUGACAAAUGUCCAAACCAUGUCUCCAUCCAACCAUCUAUACAGGAGCUAAAAAAACUGGAUCUCACAAAAGUAAAGAGCAGACUGAUGGUAACCAGAGGCUGUGAAUGGAAGGGGAAAGGGAAGGGAUGCAAGGGAAAAAAAGAAGGACAGGACUAAGAGAAAGGCAGAGAUUCAUGGCUUUUUAAAAUGGUAUUUAUGGUUAUUCCCUCCUCCACCUCAUCCCUAACUUACCGGAAGACAAAAUGACAUGGGAAGAAGAGGAAAGUUGUUAGAAGGGGAGCUCUAGACAGCCAGGAAAGCUGGAGUCACAAGUGGACAAGGAGACCCAUGGAAGCGACUCAUGAUAGAAAUGGUUCUCCUUUGGUCAUCUGCAAACUUUACCCAACAAUGGUAUCUCCUGGUAUCGUAUGAAAUAAAACCAGAAGUCUGGUAUUUUGGUCCCAGCUGUUAAGACUUCUGCCUGGAUUAAGCCUUCUUUUCCAUCUCUCUGAGGGGCCACCCUGCUCAGAUUUCUCACACUUGGGCAACCUGCCUUGAUAUGUGAAUCUUACUUAGGAAAACAGACAAUUUUCUCUGGUCACUAUCUCAGCCCACAAGGGAGAUUUAGCAUUUUUAGUCGACCCUCUUC